AGUCUUGCAGAAGUGUGGCACCACCAUUUCACUCCAGAAGAGUAGGAGGUGAAACUGGAUGAAAUUGAAGUCAAAAGACCGAUACGUGAAUAAUUUUGCCUCUUGCUUAAGAAGAUGAAGAUCUCCAGUCUGAAAGCCUCUUAAACACCAGCAAGAUUAAAAGUGCUGUAGAGCUGAAGAGCAGGAAAAAUGCACAUUGGCUCAUUCAGAUCUCUGGACAGAGGGUGGUCCAAGCUCCAGGAAAGCACAUGGAAAAUUCAGCUUCAGCCCCCUGGUGAUGUAAAGUGCAGUCGGAGUAGAUAAAUGGAAGGUGACUUGUAUCCAUACUGCUUUUUCCAACAUACACAAAAGUUUUCUUCACCAGCAUUACUUAAGCUGAGGUCUGCAGACAACAAAUGACCCAGGAUGUGAUCCCUAACCAACCUCCCAAAUCAUAACAACCCAUACUGUUCCUUGUAAAAAAAAAUAAAUUCCGACACUAAGAAAGUGUCAGGUGU